UUGUAAUAUUUUCCCUCAUAUUCAGACAGAUAAAAAAUCUAAGCAAAAAGAAUAGUAUGAAAAAACCCUCCACCACCAUGAAGGAGGUGGAAGCAACAUGGAUUGAAACAUCAUUGUGGUAAUAGCAUUCAGGGAGCCGAAGCUCUCUAUAAUGAUCCUUCCGCAGGUUCACCUACGGAAA
rnacentral:misc_RNA from 1 species